UACUAUCCGCGCCGUUCGGGUGUCCGCGCCGACGGUGGUUGGCGCGGAUUAAACGGGAAGCCGGUGCGUUCUUUCGUAGGACAAGGCCGGCACUGCCCCCGCAACGGUAUGCGUCCAGGCGGGCUUUGCCCGUUCGCGGACUCGGUAAGACGCCACUGCGCGAGCGGGAAGGCACCGGGUCCGGCCAUCGUCGAUGGCUGACGCGAGUCCGGAGACCGGCCCGAUGUCGACCCGCCAC
rnacentral:ncRNA from 2 species